CAUUCAUGUUUUUAAGUUUGUGAAAGGGAUUUCUGGAGGUAGCGAUCAUUNAAUUUAUUGUUUGUGAGUUCCUUUGGUUGUUUCUGAACAACUUAUAUUUUUUGCGAUAACUUCCUUCUCUUUGUGAGAUUGUAAUUUCUUUUGUACUUGCAUAUUCUAUGCUUGAACUUUCAUUUACGUAGGUUGGUGAGGGUUUGACGGACGAGCUUUAGUAGGCAGUGUUUAUCACUGUUGAACUCAUGUCUUUACUUCAGGUGACCUUUAAUGUGGAGGUGUUUUUCGUUUUUCUUUCCAGAUGCUUUGCACGUAGCUUUCCUAUUAAGUUAGGUUGGGGUACGCACACGUCCCAUCUCAGGUGGGCGGUCACGACCUCCUAAAACGCGUUGCUUCUCUUGGUACCCUUGAGAUUCCCUUCACAAACUCGACCAUCCUACCUGUUUGGAGUGACGAGGGCUGUUGAAAGCGCGAGUUAGAUAACGAUUAACAUGUACACUCGGUUUGAUUGCGAUUGCAAUGAGCAAUGCUUGUACAAUUCUAUAUACUACAUAACACAUCUAGGGAACAAACAAUUUUUGACAUACAACCCGUGGCGGGGGAUGUCUCGGCUUCCACAUCGAUGAAGAACGUAGCAAAAUGCGAUAUGUAAUGCGAUUUGCAGAACUCGUGAGUCAUCGAAUUUUUGAACGCAAGUUGCGCUCGCGGGAAAUCCUGCGAGCACGUCUGUUUGAGUGUCCGUACAAAAACUAAAACACUUGUUUUUUAUUUUUCCCUUUGUUGACUUUGUUGCUUGCAAUGAUUUUGACAGUGUUGAGUGUUUCCGUUCACAGUGCAUUUUACAUGUACAGGAUGGUCACUUUAAGUUGAGGGGUAAUUGUUCCUCGUGAACUUUACCAUUGGCAUGGUUUUUUAAACCUUACUACACCGUUCCCCUGCUACUUUCUAAGUAGUGAGGAGCUGCUCACUUGCAUAUGACUUCGUUUUUCACUUAGAAUUUUUGUCUAGGUACUGAUGUUUUCUUUCUGCUGAGGUGCGAUUGUUGUGAAGUGAUUACUUAGAGCAACUAUUCAACAACCUCUGAAGGACUACAGCUUUACUGUUUGAACACAAUUUGGACUUGUGAUUUAAGUUGUCGCGCUUGUGUUUUACUUCUCCAGUGCUAUUCUUUAGUGCUGUGGCAAGACGCGUAGCAAAACAGUGC
rnacentral:rRNA from 1 species